rnacentral:lncRNA from 10 species
AGGGAAGGAAGAGACAGCUCCAGCUCCCUUUUCUUGGCAUCCCAGUCUUCAUCACGCUCAUCCAGAGGCAGCCCCUUCUGCUGGGCAGCGCAACGGUGGUCCUGGCACUCGGGCUCUGCCCUAGGAAAGAAGAGAGAGCCUUCUGAACUUGGAUCAGGAGGACCUGUUCCAGCCUGGGAAUCGGCCUUUAUUCACAGGUUCUGCACACCGCAGUUCAGUUGAGAAGGAAGGAGGCCAAGUUUGAGCAUUUCCAAGCAUACACUUAGGGAAGGUCUCAGACACUAAAGAAACUACUUGGAGGUGGAGAAAAAUUGUGGGACCCGAGUGAGAUGUUAACAGACUCAAAGAUAGUCACUCAGCUUGAAGAAAAUGCUCCUGAUUCUUGAAGUGCUCACAUUUAUAGAGCAACCUGCAGAUUAUUGCGAGACUGUUUUCGUUUAUUUUUAGUUUUAUUUUUCAUAAUCAUAAAAGUGAUGUGUGUUCCUUGUAUAAAAUUUAAAAGUACAGAAACAUAUAAGGAACAAAAUGAGAAUCACUCACAAUCACAUAUGUAUUAUACGUAUGUAUGGAUUCUGUAAAAAUACAUAUAAUUGUAAAUGGAUACAUGGAUGGAUAAAUAAAUAGAGCAUUAUACACACAUAGACAAUGGGAAAUACACACAUAUACAGUUUUGUAUGAGGCCAAUGGUGAGUAUGUGACUUGCUUAAAGGUACUUGGAAAAGUCACUUUUGAACCAAUAUGAGGACAAAUGGAAUUUAAGAGGAUAGAUAAUGGUAUAGGGAAGGCAAAUAGCAUUUUAAGUGCAAACCAUUAUUAAAAGCACAGUUCAUUCAAAGGACAGCAAACUCACUAGUCCCUCACCCUAAGCUGGAAGUGACCUUUCAAUCUUCAGACCACACCAUGUCUUUCCUCUGCCUAGUCACUCUCUGUCUUGUAUUAGUGUUAUUUAUGUAAACAAGUUAUUUCGUCUCCCACACAGUUAACCUUCUUGAUGUCCAGCACUGUAUCUGGUUUAUUUUAGGUUGUUUUUAGUGUCUAACUCAAUGACAUACACAUAGUAGAACUCAAAAAUAUUUGCUAAAUGAGAGGUUUAUCACUUGGGGGGCUGAAUCAAAAGCUGAAUUGUUUCACAACAUUCCCUAGGAUAUUCAGAAAAUGAUCACAUAUGGUCUAGGCUUCUUUUGAAGUUCUCUUAUAUCCUUUAUCUUCAUCACCUAGCCCAGGAGCCAACUUACUCAAAAUGUGAAUCAAUAAGAAAUUCCUUAAGUGAUCCCCUUGCCUAAAGUCUAGCAGUCUUCAAUCCCACGCAGUACCACUGCCAACUCCUCUACUACACAAAUAAAUUGCUAAUGCAUCUGUUUCAGCUUGUGACUCCCCUGAUGAGCUCACACUCUUCUGCUUGCCUAGUUCACUGUGGUCACCCACCCCGUCACCUGACCUUAUGCUCCAUUCCUCUCUAGUGUGAAUGCUCUGCCUAGCCAGGCCACUCAUCCCUGCACUCCACUAUCCCUCACCUUCUCACAUAUACACACAACCUAUGCACAUUUCCAAGUUGGUGCCUUCACUCUAAAUCAACAGUUUUUCUCCCUCCUUCAUUAGCCAGCUAGCUUUCAAGAUCCAGGUUAAUCCCCCCUUAAUUCAGGAUUCUUCUCCCUAAACGCUCUGUCAGGGAAGUUCUUAGUGGGAGCUGAUAAUAAGUAGAAAUGACUCACACGUGAUGUGACUGACCUUUAUUGUUUUUGCUGGCUCAACACUGUCUGCCUACUUUUCUUGGUAAUAGCACUCCCCACUAUUUGGAGGCAAGCACCCCUCCUGCAUUUCAGUUAUGCUGGGAUCAUAUUUCAUGUUGAUCCCUGGUCACUAGGGAGGGGCUGGGAUUACUUAGAGAGAGUCAGUAGAGGACAGCCAAGGGCAGGACCCUAAGGAAUGUCAGCAUUUAAAAGGCACGCAAGAACAUAUCAUAAGAUUUAUUCUUAGAAAAAGCACAUUUUAAAAGUCAUAAGGAAUUAUCAGAGAAGUAGAAGAAAAACUAAAAGAGAAUAGCAUCAGAUAAAACAAGGGAGAAGAGUUUCAGGAAUAUUAAAUACCGAAUUAAGUGGAGGUAAGAUGUGAAUUGAGAAGAGGCAAUUGAUUUAGCGUGAGGAGCUCCCUAAUGACUUGAGUGACAGCUGAUUCAGUAUGGGGAUCAGGGAAGAAGUCUGAAGCGUGGGUGAGAGGUGAAGAAGUGGAGACAAUUACAUAGAUUAGUUUCCUCAAAUUUAAUGUUUCAAAGAAGUACAACUAUCAUGAUUAAUACUGCUAUAUUAUAUGUUAAAGUUCCAAGGCUAUAUAAAACUAUCAAGUAAUAUCAGUAAGCGUUCCUAUCAUAAUAUUCAAGCAAAUGAAAUAACGUUGCCUUUUUGAGAGAAAAACAUAUUUUGAAACUUUUACAAGCAGACAUAAAGACAGUUGACAUUUCCAAAAAGGCACACGUAAUUUAUGAAAAUCUAUUACAUUCCAAAUUUAGUACAAACUCAAAGCUGAUCUAAUUCUGAUACUUAAAAUGCACCUCUCUCCUUUGGCUGAAAAUGAAAUAACAAACCCUUCCAAUUAACAGACAUUUAAAACCUACUCAAUUUGAUUGCUAACAAGUCAGAGGAAGGACAUGUUGUCCUUCCCCAAGAUUUUAGGACCUAAUGUUUACCAUGAUCUUAGAUCUUGCAAAUACAAACUACUAAAGAAGUCAGGCGUUUCUUGAUUUAUAUAGAGUCAAAAUUCUAUUCCCCUGGGGAGAAGAAAGAGAAGGUAGUUGUUUAAUGGGUGUGGAGUUUCAGUUUUACAAGAUGAAAAAGUUCUGGAGCUCUGUUUCACAACAAUGUAAAUGUGCAUAACACUGAUGAACUGUACACUUUAGAAACAGUUAAUAUGGUAAAUUUUAUGAGUUUUUCAUCACAAUAAAAAUACAGAAAACUAUUCAAAAAUUAUAUUUUUUACACAAGUUAUUACUAUAAAACAUGUUAGACACUCUGAGAGGAUAAGUGCUUUUCCUUUUGGAUUAAAAAAAGUAGAUUAGCUUUCAAGUUGCUUAGAAGUGUAGGGAAGAAGAAAGACACAGCGCAAUUCAGAAGGGCCUCUAACUUUUUGUUUGUUUGAUAAUACCUAUUUGAACAUGUUCACAGUCCAAAAAGAAGUCAAGGGAAAGGAAAAAACACUAAAAAUACAGGAGAAACCGUAAAGAUGUAACAAAGAACACACGAAUAAUGAAUGGCCUUCUAGAAGACAUAAAGGAUUAGAUCAAGAGUCUAUAUGGAGGGAUAACACUUUACAAAGGAGGGACAGGACGGCAAGAAGGAGCUGAUAUAAAUGUACAUAAAAUCUGCAGGUGUGAGACUUGAAAAAUGUGUAACCCAUGGCUUCAAUAUUUUUUCUAAAGUAGAAGGCAUACCUCUGAAAGACAGGCUGAGGUGUGAUGUGGCUUUGGAAUUGCCAGUGAGGAGUAGGAUAGGAAGAGAUAGCCAAGCUGCUCUGAGGGCUCAGAUAAAAGUGGAAAUAUUCAAACUGCUAGGAUACCCAUAUAUUGACGUGGGAUUUUCUCUAGCUGAACAAGGAUAAACGUGGAGAAGACAGAGAUUCAUCUAAGGUUGGGAAUUCCAGGUUAUGUGCUGGGUUGAGAAUUAAUAGCAGGAAUAGCGGGAAGAGAGUGGAAGAAUGAAGUGUAUUAUGGUACUCAUAUGGUAGAGGAAAUUUAGUGAGACCUUCAGGAAGGUGAUAGAUUAGGAGAAAAAGGAGAAGUUGAGUGACAAGAGAUCUUGAUGAAUUCAAGACCUGGUGAUAAUGCAGGAACUGAUAAAGUGAAGAGAGCUAUGGUCACAUUGUGGUAUGUUAGGAUUUUAAAAAGUUCAGAGAACAAUGUCUGCUGAUGCUGAGGUCCACAGAGGAUGGAGAUCGUUGAAUGUAGGGGAUGAUGGAUGAAAUUGGGAAAAGUGAAUCUGUGAGUCAGGACUCAAGGUUCUGCCUCUUUACUCCCCAAAGCAUCUCAAUUGUGAUAUUGGAUAUUUUUAAUGUAAGACAUUACCUUUAAGAGAAUGUCUCUUGGGUUACUUCUAUAGAUAACUAAUCUCAUCAUAGGCAAAAUUUUCACUUGUUCAACUUUCUGAAGAUAACUGCAUUUUCAGGUUCUUCGGAGGGCACCCCAUCAUGAACUGCCCCUAUAGAUGGCAUUGCUAUCUAUAUCAUUUGGUUUCCAAGCAACGAUGCCCUCACUCCAAUACUCUACUUUCUCUUGUAUGAAUUGCUUGUCGAAACAAUCGAAUUCUAAGUUUCCAAAUUUUGUUCCAUCCUCUCAGAGCUAUAACUGUUAUGCAAAUUAUUGGUGCUUAAUUAUGUUUGAAUGCUUGGCUGAGCGAAAAAAAUAAACAGGUGCUAGUUAAGUUCUUUGGUGUGUGUAAAUAGGGCAUUCACAGAUGAACAUAGAAGUUUUAAAAGAUAGGAGGGCACUGAAAAAUGGAAGUCUAAUUCACCUGCCUCGUUUUAAAUAUGAGAAAACUGAGGGUCGGGAAGCUGCAUUGACUUGCACAAGGUCACACAGCCAGUUUGGAUGCCUUUUAGAAAGCUGAAGGUCAUGAUUCUUGCACCAUGUCCCAUCUUCAAACUUGGUAUUCCAAUUCUCUUAUCUGAGAUAAUUUUUGUAUAAUCAAAACAACAUGUUAAUAUAGUUUUGACCCCUAAACUAGUCUUUUAAGUGAAACACUAAUAAAAAUAACUCAACUAAAAAAAUCAAUAAAAAUAAUAGUCCAUU